GGGUUGUGAGGUUAAGCGACUAAGCGUACACGGUGGAUGCCCUGGCAGUCAGAGGCGAUGAAGGACGUGCUAAUCUGCGAUAAGCGUCGGUAAGGUGAUAUGAACCGUUAUAACUGGCGAUUUCCGAAUGGGGAAACCCAGU
rnacentral:rRNA from 1 species